rnacentral:rRNA from 1 species
AGUCGAGAAUUUUUCUCAAUGGGCGCAAGCCUGAAGGAGCGACGCCGCGUGGGGGAUGAAGGGUUUCGAUCCGUAAACCCCUGUCAUUUGUGAACAAGGCUGAUCCGAUAACACCGGAGCAGUUGAUAGUAAUGAAAGAGGAAGGGACGGCUAACUCUGUGCCAGCAGCCGCGGUAAUACAGAGGUCCCGAGCGUUGUUCGGAUUCACUGGGCGUAAAGGGUGCGCAGGUGGCCAGGCAAGUCGGAUGUGAAAGCUCCGGGCUCAACCCGGAAAUGGCAUUGGAAACUGCCUGGCUGGAGGUUUGGAGGGGGGACUGGAAUUCUCGGUGUAGCAGUGAAAUGCGUAGAGAUCGAGAGGAACACCAGUGGCGAAGGCGGGUCCCUGGACAACACCUGACACUGAGGCACGAAAGCUAGGGGAGCAAA